UAUCUAAGAAAAAAACUAUGUUUCUCAAAACAUUCGCAGUGGCCGCCUAAGAGCUUUCGCCUUUCGCCUAGCUUGAGAGUUAAUGCUGCUCUAUCCUUCCUUGGAUGCCUGAGGUC
rnacentral:snoRNA from 2 species